AAACACAAAUACUGUUUUCCCAGGGUGAGGUCACCCCAUGGCACCUGAGAUGCCCAGACUCCCAGGAUUUCCCCAAAUGAGAAAAACUCAACAGCAUGAUUUGUGGUAGUGGGGGACUACAUUAGAUGUUUUCCCCAC
rnacentral:snRNA from 1 species